ACAUUGGUGGUUCAGUGGUAGAAUUCUUGCCUUCCACGCAAGAGACCUGGGUUGGAUUCCUGGCCAGUGUG
rnacentral:tRNA from 1 species